UCUCCGUAGGUGAACCUGCGGAGGGAUCAUUACAGAGUUCAUGCCCUACCGGGUAGAUCUCCCACCCUAUGUUAUUAUUACUUUGUUGCUUUGGCGGGCCGUUAGGCUCCGGCCCGACUACCGGCCCCGGCUGGUAAGCGCCCGCCAGAGGACCCAAAACCCUGAAUAUUAGUGUCGUCUGAGUACUAUAUAGUAGUUAAAACUUUCAACAACGGAUCUCUUGGUUCUG
rnacentral:misc_RNA from 1 species